UACGUAGGGUGCGAGCGUUGUCCGGAAUUAUUUGGGCGUAAAGGGCUCGUAGGCGGUCUGUCGCGUCGGGAGUGGAAAACUCAGGGCUUAACCCUGAGCCUGCUUCCGAUACGGGGCAGACUAGAGGUAUGCAGGGGAGAACGGAAAGUUCCUGGUGUAGUGGUGGAAUGCGUAGAUAUCGGGAGGAACACCAGUGGCGAAGGCGGUUGCCUGGGG
rnacentral:rRNA from 1 species